rnacentral:rRNA from 2 species
UACGUAGGUGGCAAGCGUUGUCCGGAUUUAUUGGGUUUAAAGGGUGCGUAGGCGGCCCUGUAAGUCAGUGCUGAAAUAUCCCGGCUUAACCGGGAGGGUGGCAUUGAUACUGCAGGGCUUGAGUACAGAUGAAGUAGGCGGAAUUGACGGUGUAGCGGUGAAAUGCAUAGAUAUCGUCAAGAACACCGAUAGCGAAGGCAGCUUACUAAGCUGUAACUGACGCUGAGGCACGAAAGUGUGGGGAUCAAACAGG